UACGAGGGGUGCAAGCGUUGCUCGGAAUUACUGGGCGUAAAGGGCUCGUAGGUGGCCAACUAAGUCAGACGUGAAAUCCCUCGGCUUAACCGGGGAACUGCGUCUGAUACUGGAUGGCUUGAGUUCGGGAGAGGGAUGCGGAAUUCCAGGUGUAGCGGUGAAAUGCGUAGAUAUCGGGAGGAACACCAGUGGCGAAGGCGGCUGUCUGGGCCAGUUCUGACGCUGAGGCGCGAAAGCGUGGGGAGCAAACAGG
rnacentral:rRNA from 1 species